rnacentral:sRNA from 1 species
CGCGCUAAGUUCAGCAUCAAUAUGGUGACCUUUCUGGAGCACGGGACCAUCAGGUUGCCUAAGGAGGGGUGAACCGGCCCAGAUCAGAAAUGGAGCAGGUCAAAGCUCCCAUGCGGAUCAGUAGUUG